rnacentral:lncRNA from 1 species
CUAAAUAUAAAUGUUUCACAAGUCAUCCAUAUGGCAAUAAAUGUCAAAACUAACCAAAUUAUCCAACAAAUCUAAUCAUAAGUUUAAAUAGGAGCAUAACCAACCAUAUGUAGCAUCCAAUGCUUCAAGUAAUGCAUCAAUGUGGUUACUUCCUCAGCUAAGAUCCUACUCAUCCUUGUCCUUGGUCUCUACAAUAUGUCAUACAUAUUAGAACCAACAUAAGGUGUCACGACCCGGCACUCCCCUUGAGCCCGUAACAACCACCGCGAUAUCUCGAUUGACAUUCCUUACCCAAAAUGCCAACCAAAAUCUCGCAAGGCUUUCGCAUCAGUUUUACUUCUCC